AUGGGUUGAACUACUAAGCGAUUACGAAUGCGAGAUUCGUUAUCAUCCGGGAAAAGCUAAUGUAGUAGCUGAUGCCCUCAGUCGAAAGGAAUACUCGGGCUGCCGAGUGAAGUCCUUAACCAUAAUGAUCCAUUCACACCUAUCCACGCAAAUCAAGGAAGCUCAAAAGGAAGCCUUGAAAACAGAAAACGUGGCUGGCGAAGCCUUAAGAGGAAUGGAUAAGAAUCUUGAAGUCAAGGGUGACGGAGUUCGUUACUUCAUGAAUCGGAUCUGGACACCGAAGUUUGGUGGAUUCAGAGACGUUGUCAUGAAUGAGGCUCAUAAGACUCCAUACUCCGUGCAUCCCGGUUCAGACAAGAUGUAUAUGGACCUCAAGAAAUUGUAUUAGUGGUCGAACAUGAAAGCCGAAAUUGCUACCUAUGUAGGCAAGUCUCUGACUUGUGCCAAAGUCAAGGUAGAGUACCAAAAGCCUUCGGGAUUAUUAUAACAACCCGAAAUAAACGAGUGGAAGUUGGAGCGGAUAACCAUGGAUUUCAUAACCAAGUUACCCAAAACAACAAGAGGACUUGACUCCAUCUGGGUGAUCGUCAACAUAUUAGCCAAAUCCAUGCACUUCCUACCAAUAAAGGAAACUGACAAGAUAGAGAAACUAGCUCGAACAUACAUCAGAGAGAUUAUAUGACUGCAUGGUGUACCAAUAUCCAUUAUAUCCGAUAGAGAUAGUAGAUUCACCUCGUGAUUCUGGCAGUCACUACAAAAAUCUCUAGGGACAAGAGUAGACAUGAGUACCGCUUACCACCCACAAACCGACGGUCGGAGUGAAAGGACCAUCCAGACUUUGGAAGAUAUGCUCAGAGCUUGUGUGAUCGAUUUUUGUAAAGCAUGGGAUAUCCAUUUACCACUAGUCGAGUUCUCAUACACCAAUAGGUAUCACACUAGCAUCAAGGUUGCUCCAUUCGAAGCCCUUUACGGUCGUAAGUGCAGAUAACCUCUGUGUUGGGCCGAAGUAGGCGACAAGGAACUAGCUAAAGGACAAGUACCUGACAACAAUCUCAUCGGCCCGGAAUUCAUCAGUGAAACGACUGAGACGAUUGUCCAAAUCCGGGAACAACUAAAAGCUUCAAGAGACUUACAAAAAUAUUAUACGGACAAAAGACGGAAGCCCUUGGAAUUUCAGUUUGGAGACCGGGUUCUAUUGAAGGUCUCACCCUGGAAGGGGUUAAUACCUUUUGGAAAAUGUGGGAAACUAAAUGCAAGGUACAUCAGACCAUUCGAGAUCCUUUCCAGGAUCGGCCCGGUAGCAUACAAGCUUCGAUUACCGCAGGAACUUAAUAACAUACAUCCUACCUUUCAUGUGUCAAACUUAGAGAAGUGCUUGUCCGAUGAGACCCUCGUCGUCCCUCUGGAAGAAAUUGAAAUCAACAAGAGUCUCCACUUUGUAGAAGAACCAGUAGAAAUCAUGUAUAGGGAAAUUAAAAGAACAAAAUAAAGUUGCAUACCCAUUGUGAAGGUCCACUGGACUGCAAAGCGAGGACCUGAAUACACCUAGGAGCGAGAAGAUCAGAUUAAACAAAAAUACCCGCAUCAUUUCCCUAGUCCAUAAAUACUUGUGUUAGAAUAAAUUUCAAUACAAAAUUCGCCCUAACGGGGGGAUGAUGUGAAAACCCAAUAUUUCAAGUCAAUGUAAUGACAUAAGUUAAGUAUUGUAAUCUAUUUUGAAUUAGUAAAUAAAAAAAAAUAUAGCAUCAGAAAUGAAAUGUUCAAAAGUCUCAAUUGGUAUACAUAAAGUAAUAGAUAUUGUAACUUGGUUUUCAGAAAUAUAAAGAACACAAAAAUCCGAAUUUUAACGAAGAAGUUAUGACUAAUCGAAAAUCCGUAGCAAAACCGGUAAAACACUAUUAAGCAUAAAACGCGAAAUUUCAAUAAAAUACUUUUUAGCCUUAACUACCUAAACGAAUGUCGUAGAUAUAUUUAAGCCGUGAACAUACAUAAAAAGAACGUCCAAAUCUGACUUUGUAUGAGAAAUUUAGGUUUUUUUUGUCAAUAGUAGCCAGCGAUAAAAAGUCUGACGAAAAUGGACAUCGGAUGAAGAAGUUAUGGAUUUUUAACGGACUUUUCGUGUCCCGGCCUAUUAAAAAUAUAUAAUUAAAAAUAAUAUCAAAAUUAGCCGACAAAGUCUAUACGAUAAUUGUAGGGCAUAUUUUCACCUACGCGUUGAUAAAGGAACGUCAAAAGUGGGCCUGGUAUGCGAAACUUAUGCAUUUUAGAAGUCUGAGGCACACAAACCAAGGAGGGUGUCAGCCAUUUUUGCUAAUUUACCUCCUUUCUCUCCCACUUUUUCACUUCCGAGCCCCUCAAGACUACCCCGACGCCCCGGUUAUGUAUCCAAGUCCCGACGAAGGUCCGAAGCUCCGAAAUACCCGAGAAACUCACUUCCUUCCGGUCGAAGUGUUGCCCGUGAAAAGUCUCGUUUUCUUCAAAUCAUCAAUCUUUCCAGGUGAAUUCAUAUCCCCAUAUUUUCACACUUUUACUAUAUUUUAGGGGGAGAAAUACAAGUGAAACGUAAGAAAAACUUAUGUUAAAAUGCAAAUCGUUACAUAUAGUUUCUGAUGAGUUGAGAACUCUUAGAUCGAUUAGAUCUUCAACAGGUUAAACAUUAAAACAAAUAAAUAAAUACUGAGAACACAGGAUAGAAUCAAAAUAUAGCCUAAUUAUUCAAGAAUAGCCACGCCUCAGCAGAGCUCGACAAAGAACUUGCACUGUAGAGGCGAGCUAGGGCUUGUAGUACAAUACUUAGAAUAAUAAAUGAAAAGUUUUUUUUUUGAAUCAAAAUAUAGCUUAAUGAUUCAAAAAUAGCCACGUCUCAGCAAAGCUCGACGAAGAGCUUUGAUGGUAGAGGCGAGCUAGGGUUUGUAGUACAAUACUUAGAAUAAUAAAUGAAUGCUUUUUUUUUCAAUGGAUGCAUGCAUGCACCUUUAAAUACUAAAACCCUAAACAAAAUAAACAUGUUUGGGCAGGCCCAAACCGGUAACAAAACUAGGCCAAGGAACGAGCCCUAGACGGAACAAAUCUUGUCCCAACAAUCUCCCCCUUUGCUUCAAUAAGGGGCAACACUUCUCUUCGGUUGAUUCGCUGUUACACACUUUACCACUUUGAACAGCUUGGGAAUGAUAGCGAACAUGACCUGACGAAAAUUGAUAUACUAUCUAAUCAUGUUAGUGAAAUACUUCUUGUCAUCUUCACUAUUUUGCUUUCAACUAUGAAUGAUAUCCAAAACAUGUUCCAAGCAAUUUUUAGUGAAAAGAUGUUUGUCAACUAGAGAGAACAAACACUUUUGACCACUGCCUCUAGUGAACAUCACAAAGUGGAGCUUUGGGUCAAUCUUCCCCAUUGUCAUUCUGUUGAUGUCGCUCGCUGAACCAAUGGGUAACUCCAUUGGCUUCCUUUUAAGGACCGAAGCAAUUUCUUGAUUCAUAUUUGCCACUUUUAAAAUGUAGCACACCAACAUCCUCUUGAGGUGAUCAAUAGUCGGCUCACAUUCAGCUGGAUUGGAGAGUAAAAAGUUGUAUAGCAAAAUCGAGUAAUAGGGAUUGAGAUUUGGUAGAUCAGCCAGAGAAAUUGUAUGCUCAGAGUUAGUCAAACAUCUGGUCACCUUGAAUUUGACAUUGAUGAAUUUCCUUGCUGCAGUUGGUUUGAGAACCCUGACAGAAGUUAUCUUUGGAGCGCUCCAUGUAAGAUACUGAGGCUGAGCAAUGUGAAGAUAAAAAUUAAUCAGAUCCCGUCGACUUCUGGAUGAGGAUGGGGAACUUUAGCAAUGAGAAGGAAGCAGUGAAAGAUAAAUGCCUUUCGAGUUAUAGGCAUGUCAAACUGUGAAUCUCUAGAGUUCUUACAGUCUAGAGACACAACCGGCUCAAGCCAAUGUGUGCUUGGACAUUCAAUGGCUUCCUUAACCAGCUUUUCUAACAACCAAAGAGGAAAAAGCAAUUUCCUUCUUUCUAAAAGAUCGUGAGAUUCUUUCAUUUUUCUCUCCUUCUCUUCUGCUUCCCUAGCAAUCUUUGCAAUGAGAUCAAGUUCCCUAUCCCUUUUCUUUCACUUCAGAGCCUCUGCAAUGGUCUCUUCUUCUUCGUCACUAUCUACCAGAAUACCUUUUCACUUGUCCUUCACACUAGGACCCGAAGCUUCAUUACCCUUCGGUCCUUCAGUGGUGACUUUUGGUGGAACAGUUGUGCUUGUAGGAGGUGGCUGGGUAGUUCUAGGAAUCCCUUCUCCCCCUUGUUUUUGAGGGACAACAGUCUCCGAAACACCCUAGAUGCGACUUAACAAGUCGAUGGUUGGGCGAAGCUUUUCACCAAGAGUGCGUCAGACAGAAAAGUGAGAAUGGAGUUGUGAGUUUCCAGAACGUUUGAGAGAAGGGCAUGAAUAUCGGAAACACAACUUUUGAUGACGGUCCUCUCAGAGUGAAGGUUGACAAUCUCCUUGUUGGCUUGAGAAUGUUGCAGGAACUUAGUCUUUAGUUGAGUGGUUUUGAUAGCCAAUACAUCCAUGAUUUUGUUUUCCAUGGCCAAUUCGUCUUGAAGCUUCUGGAGACGCUCAUUGAUAGAGGUGUGUAAGGCAGUAUUAUCUGUCGAGAUAGUUUGACGCAUGGUGGCAAAGUGCUGCUUUUCAGUCUCAAGAGACACAACAAGCUUUUCCACUAUGGACUUAACUUUGUUUCCAUUUGACUUCGCUGCACCCUGUAAUGCCUUUAGAAAAAUGUUAGCAUCAUUAAUUAGUUUUUUGAAUUUUUUGGUCGCUUCUUUAGAGGCCUGGGUGGAGGCAUCAACAGCCGAGGAUGCCUUGGAUAUUGAAGCGUCAUGCUCUUUUACGAAGGUCGCCAUCAUUGUAACGCCCGUAGAUCCGGGCUAGUCAAUUUAGAGAUAAUAGGGGUCGAAAACGACUUUUCAGAAAAAGAAUAUUUAGAAUAAAUAAUCUUAACCAAGUUUUAGAAUACGUCUCAAAGG
rnacentral:lncRNA from 1 species